rnacentral:rRNA from 1 species
AUUCCAGCUCCAAUAGCGUAUAUUAAAGUUGUUGCGGUUAAAAAGCUCGUAGUUGGAUUUCUGUCGAAAGUGGCCGGUCUGCCGAUGGGUAUGCACUGGCAGGCGCGUCCUUCCUUCCGGAGACUGUCCCUACUCUUAACUGAGCGGGGUCGGGAGACGGAUCGUUUACUUUGAAAAAAUCAGAGUGUUUCAAGCAGGCAGCUCGCUCUUGCAUGGAUUAGCAUGGGAUAAUGAAAUAGGACUUUGGUGCUAUUUUGUUGGUUUCGAACACCGAAGUAAUGAUUAACAGGGACAGUCAGGGGCACUCGUAUUCCGCCGAGAGAGGUGAAAUUCUCAGACCAGCGGAAGACGAACCACUGCGAAAGCAUUUGCCAGGGAUGUUUUCAUCA